rnacentral:rRNA from 1 species
UACGUAGGUGGCAAGCGUUGUCCGGAUUUACUGGGCGUAAAGAGCGCGCAGGCGGUCGUAUAAGUCGAAUGUGAAAGCCCCCGGCUCAACUGGGGAGGGUCAUUCGAUACUGUUCGACUCGAAGGCAGGAGAGGGAAGUGGAAUUCCGGGUGUAGUGGUGAAAUGCGUAGAUAUUGGGAGGAACACCAGUGGCGAAGGCGGUCCCCUGGGCCGGAACUGACGCUGAGGCGCGAAAGCGUGGGUAGCAAACGGG